GCUUUCGUGGUCUAGGGGUGAUGACGUCUCCUUUACACGGAGAAGAUCGUGGGUUCGAUUCCCACCGAGAGUA
rfam:Fragilariopsis cylindrus CCMP1102 unplaced genomic scaffold FRACYscaffold_19, whole genome shotgun sequence.